UACGUAGGGCGCAAGCGUUGUCCGGAAUUAUUGGGCGUAAAGAGCUCGUAGGCGGCCUGUUGCGUCCGCUGUGAAAUCCCGGGGCCCAACCCCGGGCCUGCAGUGGAUACGGGCUGGCUGGAGGCAGGCAGGGGAGAACGGAAUUCCUGGUGUAGCGGUGAAAUGCGCAGAUAUCAGGAGGAACACCGGUGGCGAAGGCGGUUCUCUGGGCCUGUUCUGACGCUGAGGUGCGAAAGCGUGGGGAGCAAACAGG
rnacentral:rRNA from 1 species